rnacentral:lncRNA from 1 species
GACGCGAGCUCGCGUAAAAUAAUGACAGCAUUGACGGCUGGAUUACUUACACCAUGGCUGGCUCGGUGUUGGAUCAAGCACGUGGAUAACUGGCUACAAAGGCACAGACUACAUUGCAGCACUAUUGACGAUACUAGAAAUUAUUUGAAGGAAGUGACCUGGCCGAUGGAUUUUUGAGUUCAAGGUGAAAACUAAACCAUCCACUUCUGUGAAUAAAAGUGAAAGUGUAAACUGUGCGUCGCUUCACUGUUCUUCCUCAGAUGCUGCCAGAACUACUACUUGUAAAGCGUGGAGCAUCCCAGAGGAGAUUUAAGCAGAGACAUCCGAGUAACUCCUCCAUUACUCGGCAACGUUGGUUGG